AUCGAAAGGGAAUCGGGUUAAUAUUCCCGAACUCGGACGUGGAUAUCGGUGCUUGCACCAGAUGCGGUAACGCAAACGAACCCGGAGACGCUGGCAGAAGCCCUGGGAAGAGUUCUCUCUUCUUUGUUAGGGACGAAUUCCGUGGAAUCGCUUCGCGCGGAGAUACGGAUGAUGUUCCCGUAAAGCAUCGCGGUUUUGCGGUGUCCGGUGCGCUUCUUCUGGCCCUUGAAAAUCCGGGUAAGAGAUUGAUUUUCACGCCGAAUCGUACCCAUAUCCGCAGCAGGUCUCCAAGGUGAACAGCCUCUAGUCUUUGAACAAUGUAGGCAAGGGAAGUCGGCAAAAUUAGAUCCGUAACUUCGGGAAAAGGAUUGGCUCUAAGGGCUGGGCCGUUCGAGCUCCGGUUAGAAGCGAUGGUCG
rnacentral:rRNA from 1 species